rnacentral:rRNA from 1 species
GGUUAAGCGACUAAGCGUACACGGUGGAUGCCCUGGCAGUCAGAGGCGAUGAAGGACGUGCUAAUCUGCGAAAAGCGCCGGCGAGGUGAUAUGAACCUUUGACCCGGCGAUGUCCGAAUGGGGAAACCCAGUGUGAUUCGUCACACUAUCGUUAACUGAAUACAUAGGUUAACGAGGCGAACCGGGGGAACUGAAACAUCUAAGUACCCCGAGGAAAAGAAAUCAACCGAGAUUCCCCCAGUAGCGGCGAGCGAACGGGGAGCAGCCCGGAGUCUGAAUCAGCUUGUGUGUUAGUGGAACGGUCUGGAAAGUCCGACGGUACAGGGUGAUAGUCCCGUACACGAAAAUGCACAGGUUGUGAACUCGAAGAGUAGGGCGGGACACGUGGUAUCCUGUCUGAAUAUGGGGGGACCAUCCUCCAAGGCUAAAUACUCCUGACUGACCGAUAGUGAACCAGUACCGUGAGGGAAAGGCGAAAAGAACCCCGGCGAGGGGAGUGAAAAAGAACCUGAAACCGUGUACGUACAAGCAGUGGGAGCCUACUUGUUAGGUGACUGCGUACCUUUUGUAUAAUGGGUCAGCGACUUAUAUUCUGUAGCAAGGUUAACCGUAUAGGGGAGCCGAAGGGAAACCGAGUCUUAACUGGGCGUUAAGUUGCAGGGUAUAGACCCGAAACCCGGUGAUCUAGCCAUGGGCAGGUUGAAGGUUGGGUAACACUAACUGGAGGACCGAACCGACUAAUGUUGAAAAAUUAGCGGAUGACCUGUGGCUGGGGGUGAAAGGCCAAUCAAACCGGGAGAUAGCUGGUUCUCCCCGAAAGCUAUUUAGGUAGCGCCUCGUGAACUCAUCUUCGGGGGUAGAGCACUGUUUCGGCUAGGGGGCCAUCCCGGCUUACCAACCCGAUGCAAACUACGAAUACCGAAGAAUGUUAUCACGGGAGACACACGGCGGGUGCUAACGUCCGUCGUGAAGAGGGAAACAACCCAGACCGCCAGCUAAGGUCCCAAAGUCAUGGUUAAGUGGGAAACGAUGUGGGAAGGCACAGACAGCCAGGAUGUUGGCUUAGAAGCAGCCAUCAUUUAAAGAAAGCGUAAUAGCUCACUGGUCGAGUCGGCCUGCGCGGAAGAUGUAACGGGGCUAAACCAUGCACCGAAGCUGCGGCAGCGACGCUUAUGCGUUGUUGGGUAGGGGAGCGUUCUGUAAGCCGUUGAAGGUGGCCUGUGAGGGUUGCUGGAGGUAUCAGAAGUGCGAAUGCUGACAUAAGUAACGAUAAAGCGGGUGAAAAGCCCGCUCGCCGGAAGACCAAGGGUUCCUGUCCAACGUUAAUCGGGGCAGGGUGAGUCGACCCCUAAGGCGAGGCCGAAAGGCGUAGUCGAUGGGAAACAGGUUAAUAUUCCUGUACUUGGUGUUACUGCGAAGGGGGGACGGAGAAGGCUAUGUUAGCCGGGCGACGGUUGUCCCGGUUUAAGCAUGUAGGCGGAGGUUCCAGGUAAAUCCGGUACCUUUUUAACGCUGAGGUGUGAUGACGAGGCACUACGGUGCUGAAGUAACAAAUGCCCUGCUUCCAGGAAAAGCCUCUAAGCAUCAGGUAACACGAAAUCGUACCCCAAACCGACACAGGUGGUCAGGUAGAGAAUACCAAGGCGCUUGAGAGAACUCGGGUGAAGGAACUAGGCAAAAUGGUGCCGUAACUUCGGGAGAAGGCACGCUGAUAUGUAGGUGAAGCCCCUGCGGGUGGAGCUGAAAUCAGUCGAAGAUACCAGCUGGCUGCAACUGUUUAUUAAAAACACAGCACUGUGCAAACACGAAAGUGGACGUAUACGGUGUGACGCCUGCCCGGUGCCGGAAGGUUAAUUGAUGGGGUUAGCGGUAACGCGAAGCUCUUGAUCGAAGCCCCGGUAAACGGCGGCCGUAACUAUAACGGUCCUAAGGUAGCGAAAUUCCUUGUCGGGUAAGUUCCGACCUGCACGAAUGGCGUAAUGAUGGCCAGGCUGUCUCCACCCGAGACUCAGUGAAAUUGAACUCGCUGUGAAGAUGCAGUGUACCCGCGGCAAGACGGAAAGACCCCGUGAACCUUUACUAUAGCUUGACACUGAACACUGGUCCUUGAUGUGUAGGAUAGGUGGGAGGCUUUGAAGCGUGGACGCCAGUCUGCGUGGAGCCGACCUUGAAAUACCACCCUUUAAUGGCUGGUGUUCUAACGUAGACCCGUAAUCCGGGUUGCGGACAGUGUCUGGUGGGUAGUUUGACUGGGGCGGUCUCCUCCCAAAGAGUAACGGAGGAGCACGAAGGUUAGCUAAUCCUGGUCGGACAUCAGGAGGUUAGUGCAAUGGCAUAAGCUAGCUUGACUGCGAGAGUGACGGCUCGAGCAGGUGCGAAAGCAGGUCAUAGUGAUCCGGUGGUUCUGAAUGGAAGGGCCAUCGCUCAACGGAUAAAAGGUACUCCGGGGAUAACAGGCUGAUACCGCCCAAGAGUUCAUAUCGACGGCGGUGUUUGGCACCUCGAUGUCGGCUCAUCACAUCCUGGGGCUGAAGUAGGUCCCAAGGGUAUGGCUGUUCGCCAUUUAAAGUGGUACGCGAGCUGGGUUUAGAACGUCGUGAGACAGUUCGGUCCCUAUCUGCCGUGGGCGCUGGAGAAUUGAGGGGGGCUGCUCCUAGUACGAGAGGACCGGAGUGGACGCAUCACUGGUGUUCGGGUUGUCAUGCCAAUGGCACUGCCCGGUAGCUAAAUGCGGAAGAGAUAAGUGCUGAAAGCAUCUAAGCACGAAACUUGCCCCGAGAUGAGUUCUCCCUGAGACUAUAAGUCUCCUGAAGGAACGUUGAAGACGACGACGUUGAUAGGUCGGGUGUGUAAGCGCAGCGAUGCGUUGAGCUAACCGAUACUAAUGAACCGUGAGGCUUAACCUU